CGCCCGAAGCCGAUUAUCUAACCUUUUGGAAGAAGUCGUCGAAGGUGGAAUCAAUAACUGGGGUGAAGUCGUAACAAGGUAGCCGUAUCGGAAGGUGCGGCUGGAUCUCCUCCUUUCUAAGGAGA
rnacentral:rRNA from 1 species